rnacentral:lncRNA from 10 species
CCUUCAGUGCCUUCCCAUUGCCUAACCUAGCUUUACAGCUUUAUCUUCUGUUUUAAAGAAACGAUAUGUAUAGUUGUUUUUUAAUGAGAAGAGGAAGAUGUGUUCCUUUGGAGGUGGCAUGAGAGCCCAGCCUCAGCAGCCGAGAACAAGCCUCGUCCGCACACCGGCGGGCUUCCUACCUUUGCGGCAAGGCCCUUCGCACUUCUUACACUUGCGGACGCCGUCUUCCUCCAUCUCAUAGCUGUCGGCCCCACAGGCUCGGACGCACGAGCCGUGAUCUGUCACCACAUAAUUACCUGGGGAAGAGAGCAUGAAAGGAAGGUGAUGACGGUGGCACCAGGUGCUCGGGCCUCACACAGGCGGUCCAGGUCCUCUUGAGGGGUGAUGGAAAGGCUCCAUCCUCCUUUGGCUUUAUUUACUUUAAGGACAAAGAAUGAAAGGUUGCAAAUAGAGAAGGAAUCCCGUUCAAGAGUUUAAUAACAUUCUAGGCCGCAAUGUGGACAAUACAGGUGUUUCAUCAUGGCAGGAAACACUGGGUCCCUUGAGGGGCCAGCUGUUUUGCGUCCCAGCAGGCACCUCAGCCCUCUCCUCCACCUGCUCUCACCUUUAAAGUAAUUCAUUUGUAUUAAUAGCAGACUUCUGCGUUAUUUUUAGGAGCUCUAUGUCUUCCUUUUUUGUUUGUCUGAGAUGGAGUCUUGCUCUGUCACCCAGGCUGGAGUGCAGUGGUGUGAUCUCAGCUCACUGCAACCUCCGCCUCCUGGGUUAAAGCAAUUCUCCUGCCUCAGCCUCCUGAGCGGCUGUGAUUACAGGCGUGCGCCACCACGCCCGGCUAAUUUUUGUAUUUUUAGUAGAGACGAGGUUUCACCCUGUUGGCCAGGCUGGUCCCAAACUCCUGACCUCAGACAAUCCAGCCCCUUCAGUCUCCCAAAGUGCUGGGAUUAAAGGCAUGAGCCAAUGAGCCACUGUGCCUGGCCUGUUCCUGUUUUAAGUUCCCCAAGAAGAUCCUCAAAAAUAUUUAUAGGACAUUGAUGAUUCUUCUGUGAACCAUCUGCUCUUGGUAUCUCAGGCUCGAAGUGUUUUCCUAUGGAUUUUAAAGCUCUGUUAAGCCCUAUCUCAAAGAUAUAUCUGUGUCAUCACUGUGGCACAUUUUUCUUUAGCUUUGUUUGUCAUUUACCUUAUAAUGGCUUAUUAUUUUGUGUUUUUUUUUUCCAUACGGAAUGUAAAAUUUUUCAUGUACACAAAUCUGGCAGGGUAAAAUCUCCCCCUCAUAAUUGUUCUUUCAAUUUUUUUUCUCAGUUAAUCUCCCCUUCUAGAGAUCAAGAGUGGCUUCUAAAACUCUUUCAUUAGACAAAGUUUUGCUUUCUCUGUCAGGAAUUAUUUUAUGUCACAAUUUCCCUAAACCCUGGAGCCACCAGUACAAAUGUAAGUACAAACAAGCAAAACUCAAACCCAAACCAUUAAAACAAAACAAAAUAAAAACAAAAACAAAACCUCUGCAAUACUCCUAAGAGGCAUAACUUUCACUAGAAUUUUAACCACUCAAGAAGGCAGGUCUUCUGAUAGACUCUCUGAUUUCGGUGUAUUAAAUACCUGCUUGGCACAAGCACUAAACAGUGGCAUGCCCACGGCUUUGUGCCCAGCAGACAACUGAAUACCCACGGCUGUGGCUGCUGGAUGAGUGGUGAGGGCUGAGCAGCAGGUGUUUCUCCUGUGAGGUGGCCUGGCCACCCAGAUCUGCCCUGUGCACUGAGCAGCCCCCAUGGGUGGAGAUGGCCACCACCUGCCCGCUCCUCGGUAGCAAGCCAGCCCCUCCCCUCGCCUGUGUGCCUGGACGGGCACAGGGUCGCCUCCUCCAAGCAAGGCAAACACAUCCACCCAAAGACUCUCCAAGAUGGGAUACUCCAGGGCUCAGCAGGAGACAGAGCGGGACAAGGAUGCCUGACCAGUUAGAGGGCCCACAGAGGAGGACUCACGGGGACACUUCUUCACGCAGGUGGCACCAAAGCUGUAUUUGCCCUCGGGGUUCACAUCCAUCUGGUACGUGGUGGGGUUGUAGAGCAUGAGUGGGGGGCAGGUGUCCUUGCACGUGGCUUCGUCUCGGAAUUUGCGGCAGACCUAUGGAGGAGAGAGGACACGCUGGGCAAGUGAGGUAAGUACACUCAGCGCCACACACGGAGGAAGCGCAGCACGGUGUUGACUCCCGUCAGAAAGCCCAAGUUACUGUCUUUGCAGCCUAGUGUUCCACUAGUGUGGGAAAACCCAGCUGGCGCCCUCUGCAGAGUCAGAAAGACCCUUCUCUAAAAAGUCCAUUUUUUUCUUAGGUGCACUGUCCCACCUAUCAUAAUUUAUGGAUUAUGAUAAAAAUACGUCUGUUUACUAACGUAUAGAUGAUGGAGUUCACACAUUAUAGCGGUGACUAUGGAAUGAAAUUAUGUUUAAUUUCCCUUAUAAAGGACAUUGGGCUUCCCUUAUAAAGUACAAUUGAGGGUAUAUUUUAUAAUGUAUUGCUGAAUGGCAGAAAGCCUUGCUAGAACAAUGCCGUGUAAAGGAGCCAGACCCAAUACAGCGAGGGCUUUUCCUAGGACCAACCCCACGCACAGUCUUCUCCCUGGGGCUCACAUUAGAAACAGCUCAGGCCAACCAAGUCACAAUUCCUGGGUCUGGGUCCAAACUCUGGAAUUUAGGAAUCUUCUCUGAAACCACAGAGUGCUCUGGAUUUAGUCUUAGGAAGGGCUUCGUCACACCAGCUCCCACUCCAGGAGUCACAUCCACCAGCCUUGGCGUCUCCAGGACUUCCAAGACGCUUCUGACCUGUACCCUCCAGUGCUGCUCAGAGCCCGCUGGGGCAGCAAGGCUUCUGCUGGCACUUUCUGGAGCAAUGGGGCGACAGUCCUAAUGACGGACAUCACAGGCAUCUCAUCAUUUAAGCAUUCAACUGGGAGAGACUUUGUUAUGCAUCAUUGUCAGGCUGAAGCUCCCAAAAUAGCCCACCCUGGAUUAACUGCAUGCGGUGAGAUUUGCAAGACUGUCCUUCACCUACUGGUUCACAUCUGACCCUGUAAUAAAGUAACUCUUUGGAGUCUUCAGAGGGAAAACAAAUCCAAUCACCUAAGCAAGUGAAGGAAGAGAGGGGCGGUCACACAUGGGUCUGAGGCUGUUCACUGACUUACGUUUCUGGCAGUUCUCCUCUCCUGCACCCCAGCAGCUCCCAUUGGGACAGCUUGGAUCACACUUUUGGCCUGAAAUGUAAAAGUAAUAGAUGCAUAUCUCAGUGAAAUGAUGAGAAACUGAUGACGCCCUUUCCCGGGCCUGAGUUAAGCACAUUCAAUAAAUGAAGACAAUCUUUUCAACUUAUUCUCUGAUUGUUUGGCUGGCUGGUUUGUAGAAUCACUUGAGACCCCGAUAAGAAAAGAAGAUGAACCAUGAACUGCUUUUAUUUACAUGUCAGCUGCGGAAACUGAGGCAGAGAGUAAUUACUGACAUGGGCCACAUAAGCAAGAAUUUUUCAUGAAUUUGAGGUUCCUUGUUUACAAUCUGCUUAGGCUUGGAGCAUUCCCUGGCAUCUCCUGCCACAGCUAGAGUGUCUCGUCUGGCUGAGCCUUUGGCAUGGACCCACUACUUCCUUGCUGUGUCCAGUCUUGAGUGACUGCAUGUGUCAGCCGUUCUGGGAUUGUUAAGUCAUAGCCUGUAAAUAAAACCUUCUAGACUCCAAACCAGAGAGAAGCACAGAAUGGUGCACAGAGGGUGAAAUGUUAACAGUGCAGAUCACUUUCAUGACUGUGUAAAACCUUAGCUAUCUGGUCAAUUUUUGCAGUUUUUAUAAUUGGCCGAUUACAAAUUAUAGCUGCAAAGGUUUUCCUGUCAUCUGUCGUGUUUUCUUUUUAUCAGUAUUGAGAAGUCUGAAGGUCGAAGUGCUAUAUCUAUAUAGAAAGAGUAGGUUAACCACCAAAUUUGUUAAAGAGUCCAGUCAUGCAGAUAUCUUUUACUGUGAAGACAUAGUAAACUAGAGGUGUUCAUGGGUCCCGAGGUCCCCUGCAGUCAGGAAGAAUUUAGAUUUCAAACAGAAAAGCUGACGAUUGAUCUCCCAUGUGACUGUGAAGCCAGAAUACCACCAAGGCAAAGGGCGCUAAUUGCCGCGCUGGUGCUCCUUAGAGACAUGAAGGCCGGGGAGGCUGGCAUCACGACAGUGACCGCGGGGGAUGGACGUUGUGAGGAGGUAGGCAGA